UUAUUCUGAGCCGCCGUUUCAACAUUUUCCAUUUUAUGGUGAAAGUUCUGUACAUCUAAUUAGUUCUGAAGUUUAAAUAUACUUGGAUUUCAAAUCUGCUAUCUUUGCUGAGUUGGAUCUGUAUUCCACCAGAUCCGGUAGCUUCUCUGGUAUGUUCCACAUUUUCUUCUACUCAGUUACAGGGGAAAGCAAUUGCUGGUAUAUGCCAUAUUUGCUGAGAUUCAAAUUAUGCAAUCAAUUCUAAUUCAUAAACUAUGACCGUGAAGAGUGAAGAGAUUAGAAGAAGAAGAGAGAUGAAGAAAAUGGCUGCUGCAGGAUUUAUUUUGUUACACCUGAUCAUCUUUCCUUGUUUGUUCAUAACGAUCUCAGCCGAGUGUACCACCUCUACCAAGAGCAACAGUACCAUUACCAACAACAACGACGGUUGGAUUACGGUAACUAACACUACCACUAGCUGGACAAAUUGUACCAGUAGUACCAGCAGCACCACUACUACAAAUUCUGUAGGAAGCAUCGUGGUCAACCGGCGUAAGGGUACUGGUGCAUUCUCGUUAUUUGUCAUUCUCAUUGCAACUGCCCUGAUUAUGUAAUUCAAUGCUCAACUUUUAGGGUUUUCAUUUCAGCUAUCUGAGUUACUAGCCAAUCUCGGAAUGUUUAUCAAAUGGAAAAAAUAGUAGUGUUUGGGUACUCAAAUCAUGAUGGUCAGGUCAAUGGUUAGCCAUUUAACUAUAGGUGUAUCUGUGUUUCUUGCAAUACUAUUAUUGUAAAGAUCAUGAUAAUACAAUUCAGUAAUUCUAAACA